rnacentral:lncRNA from 1 species
UCAAUUAGCCCAUCUAUUAAGCUAAUUUUUCUCAAUUAACAUUUUAUUCCAUCAUUCUAAACUAUUACACAAUCUUUGAAAAUCAAAAUUUUAACACUAAACCUUAAUUCACAACUUUUUCACAAUUAGGUCCUAAAAUCAAUUUCUAUUGAAAUUACUUGAUAAAAUCAUCAAACAACAAAAUCAAAGCUUCAAAUUCAUUUUAUUUCAUCAUAAA